rnacentral:rRNA from 1 species
AGACGUCUACAUUAGAUACCCCGGUAGUCCCAGCCGUAAACUAUGCGCGUUAGGUGUAUCGGUGACCACGAGUUACCGAGGUGCCGAAGGGAAACCGUAAAACGUGCCGCCUGGGAAGUACGGUCGCAAGGCUGAAACUUAAAGGAAUUGCGGGGAGCACCACAACAGGUGGAGCCUGCGGUUUAAUUGGACUCAACGCCGGGAAGCUCACCGGAUAGGACAGCAGAAUGAUUGCCGGGCUGAAGACCCUGCAUGACUAGCUG